GAUGAACGCUGGCGGCGUGCCUAAUACAUGCAAGUCGAGCGAACGGACGAGAAGCUUGCUUCUCUGAUGUUAGCGGCGGACGGGUGAGUAACACGUGGAUAACCUACCUAUAAGACUGGGAUAACUUCGGGAAACCGGAGCUAAUACCGGAUGAUAUUUUGAACUGCAUGGUUCAAAAGUGAAAGACGGUCUUGCUGUCACUUAUAGAUGGAUCCGCGCUGCAUUAGCUAGUUGGUAAGGUAACGGCUUACCAAGGCAACGAUGCAUAGCCGACCUGAGAGGAGGAUCAGCCACACUGGAACUGAGACACGGUCCAGACUCCUACGGGAGGCAGCAGUAGGGAAUCUUCCGCAAUGGGCGAAAGCCUGACGGAGCAACGCCGCGUGAGUGAUGAAGGUCUGCGGAUCGUAAAACUCUGUUAUUAGGGAAGAACAUAUGUGUAAGUAACUGUGCACAUCUUGACGGUACCUAAUCAGAAAGCCACGGCUAACUACGUG
rnacentral:rRNA from 1 species